GGCGGGAUGGCCGAGCAGUCUAAGGCGCUGGUUUUAGCACCAGUCGCUUCGGAGGAGUGGGUUCGGAUCCCACUCUCGUCA
rfam:Toxocara canis scaffold1201, whole genome shotgun sequence.